AUGCCUAUAUUUCUCUUGUCUUUUUUUGAGGUUCCAGUUGGAGUUAGGAAAAGGCUGGACUUCUAUCGAUCCCGAUUCUUCUGGCAGAGUGAUGAACUAAACCGAAAAUAUAGGCUAGCCAAAUGGGACAUUAUUUGUAGACCAAAAGACCAAGGGGGUCUUGGCAUUGAGAAUCUUGAAGUGAAGAACAUGUGCCUUCUCAGUAAGUGGCUGUAUAAGUUAUCUGUUGAAACGGAGGCCACAUGGGCGCAAAUUCUCCGUAGUAAGUACCUUCACUCCAAAACUUUGUCUCAGGUAACAGUGAGGCCGACGAAUUCGCCUUUCUGGAAAGGACUGAUGAGAGUUAAAUUGGUUUUUUUCAAUAGGACAAAGUUUAUAUUAGGAAAUGGUACCACCACGAGAUUCUGGGAGGAUUCUUGGCUAGGGGAAACACCCCUAGCGCUUCAAUAUCCGUCCCUGUAUCGCAUUGUUCAACAACUGGACGAUUCCAUUGCAUCAGUGCUUCAGUCCAUACCCCUCAAUAUUCACUUCAGGAGGACGCUUGCCGGAAGCCGUUGGGAAACCUGGAUCCAUCUUGUGAGUAGACUGAUGGAGGUUCAGCUGUCUCAACAGCCCGACCAGUUGCGCUGGAAGCUUACUAGAAAUGGAGAGUUUUCGGUUAAAUCCAUGUAUAUGGAUGUUAUCAAUUCUAACUCUAUUCUUAGUUCCAAACAUGUUUGGAAAGUCAACGUUCCUUUGAAAAUUAAAGUGUUUAUAUGGUUUGUGCAUAAACAAGUUAUUUUAACUAAGAACAACCUGACAAAACGCAACUGA
rnacentral:rRNA from 1 species